UACGUAGGUGGCAAGCGUUGUCCGGAUUUACUGGGCGUAAAGAGCGCGCAGGCGGUCGUUCAAGUCGCGUGUGAAAGCCCCCGGCUCAACUGGGGAGGGUCACGCGAUACUGAUCGACUCGAAGGCAGGAGAGGGAAGUGGAAUUCCCGGUGUAGUGGUGAAAUGCGUAGAUAUCGGGAGGAACACCAGUGGCGAAGGCAGCUCGCUGGGACGUGACUGACGCUGAGACGCGAAAGCGUGGGGAGCAAACAGGG
rnacentral:rRNA from 1 species